AGUCCACAGCAGCAUCCUGGAAAUGGUCCAGUGUCAUGGAUGAGUCACUCCAUCACUCCACCUGCCCUUACUGCCUCAUCUGGACCGGAUGUUGCUGUGGCCCCUUCAUCCUCAGGAUCCCAAUCCCCCUGGAGCAACCUGGAGUAAAGAGCCUUGCUGAAGGACACACCGGUGGUGACGACUGCGGAGAUCGAACCAGCAACCUUCUGCUUACCAGUAGUCGUGCUCAUGGAGAGUAGGCACACAAAUUUUUGGAGCAGACACGGCACCAGUCAGAUUGUCCUACACAUGUUCUCCU